CAUCCUACGGGAGGCAGCAGUGGGGGAUAUUGCACAAUGGGGGGAACCCUGAUGCAGCGACGCCGCGUGGGUGAAGGAGCGUUUCGGCGCGUAAAGCCCUAUCGGCAGGGAAGAAGGAGGACGGUACCUGACUAAGAAGCCCCGGCUAACUACGUGCCAGCAGCCGCGGUAAUACGUAGGGGGCAAGCGUUAUCCGGAUUUACUGGGUGUAAAGGGAGCGUAGGCGGGAUGGAAAGUUGGGUGUUAAAUCUACCGG
rnacentral:rRNA from 1 species